GUUGGGUAGGGGAGCGUUCUGUAAGCCUGUGAAGGUGGCCUGUGAGGGUUGCUGGAGGUAUCAGAAGUGCGAAUGCUGACAUAAGUAACGAUAAAGCGGGUGAAAAGCCCGCUCGCCGGAAGACCAAGGGUUCCUGUCCAACGUUAAUCGGGGCAGGGUGAGUCGACCCCUAAGGCGAGGCCGAAAGGCGUAGUCGAUGGGAAACGGGUUAAUAUUCCCGUACUUGGUGUUACUGCGAAGGGGGGACGGAGAAGGCUAUGUUGGCCGGGCGACGGUUGUCCCGGUUUAAGCGUGUAGGUGUGUGUUCCAGGUAAAUCCGGUUCACUUUAACACUGAGGCGUGAUGACGAGGCACUACGGUGCUGAAGCAACAAAUGCCCUGCUUCCAGGAAAAGCCUCUAAGCAUCAGGUAACAUCAAAUCGUACCCCAAACCGACACAGGUGGUCAGGUAGAGAAUACCAAGGCGCUUGAGAGAACUCGGGUGAAGGAACUAGGCAAAAUGGUGCCGUAACUUCGGGAGAAGGCACGCUGACACGUAGGUGAAGUGAUUUACUCAUGGAGCUGAAGUCAGUCGAAGAUACCAGCUGGCUGCAACUGUUUAUUAAAAACACAGCACUGUGCAAACACGAAAGUGGACGUAUACGGUGUGACGCCUGCCCGGUGCCGGAAGGUUAAUUGAUGGGGUCAGCGCAAGCGAAGCUCCUGAUCGAAGCCCCGGUAAACGGCGGCCGUAACUAUAACGGUCCUAAGGUAGCGAAAUUCCUUGUCGGGUAAGUUCCGACCUGCACGAAUGGCGUAAUGAUGGCCAGGCUGUCUCCACCCGAGACUCAGUGAAAUUGAACUCGCUGUGAAGAUGCAGUGUACCCGCGGCAAGACGGAAAGACCCCGUGAACCUUUACUAUAGCUUGACACUGAACAUUGAGCCUUGAUGUGUAGGAUAGGUGGGAGGCUUUGAAGUGUGGACGCCAGUCUGCAUGGAGCCGACCUUGAAAUACCACCCUUUAAUGUUUGAUGUUCUAACGUGGACCCGUAAUCCGGGUUGCGGACAGUGUCUGGUGGGUAGUUUGACUGGGGCGGUCUCCUCCUAAAGAGUAACGGAGGAGCACGAAGGUUGGCUAAUCCUGGUCGGACAUCAGGAGGUUAGUGCAAUGGCAUAAGCCAGCUUGACUGCGAGCGUGACGGCGCGAGCAGGUGCGAAAGCAGGUCAUAGUGAUCCGGUGGUUCUGAAUGGAAGGGCCAUCGCUCAACGGAUAAAAGGUACUCCGGGGAUAACAGGCUGAUACCGCCCAAGAGUUCAUAUCGACGGCGGUGUUUGGCACCUCGAUGUCGGCUCAUCACAUCCUGGGGCUGAAGUAGGUCCCAAGGGUAUGGCUGUUCGCCAUUUAAAGUGGUACGCGAGCUGGGUUUAGAACGUCGUGAGACAGUUCGGUCCCUAUCUGCCGUGGGCGCUGGAGAACUGAGGGGGGCUGCUCCUAGUACGAGAGGACCGGAGUGGACGCAUCACUGGUGUUCGGGUUGUCAUGCCAAUGGCACUGCCCGGUAGCUAAAUGCGGAAGAGAUAAGUGCUGAAAGCAUCUAAGCACGAAACUUGCCCCGAGAUGAGUUCUCCCUGAGACU
rnacentral:rRNA from 1 species